GGUGGAGAAGGACUUGCGGAAAUUGAGAGCGGGUCAGGAGGAUUGUGAAGACGGAGAGAUGGAGGCAGCUGGUUGGCGAGGUCAAAUACCACCUAGGGUAUCCAUGGCCAUGGGAGUAAGUAAGAGUAAGAGUAUGCUCUUACUUUUGUCCCCUGUUAGGCGAGAGGUCACUUUUCACUUUCUGUGUCACAUACUGUUGUCCCCUGUUAGGCGAGAGGUCACUUUUCACUUUCUGUGUCACACACUGUUGUCGCUGUGGAAAGUAUUGUCAAGCUUUGCAUAAAAGUCAAGUCAAUGGUGAAAUUAAAAAUCAUCUUCAAGACUUUUUCUCUUCACACUGGGAGUUUGCAAUCAUUACGACUGUGUUAAACAUACUUUGCAUAAUAUAUUAGUGGUAUUGUUCAAGUAGUAUAGUAAUACUCAACAUUUUAUAUUGUUACGUUUCCAGAUUUUAUAGUAAUAUUCAACAUUUUAUAUUAUUUAUUAAGUUUCCAGAUUUUAAUGUUAUUUAGCUAAAUAUUCUAUCUUUUUUAGAUUUUAUUGUACUGAUGGAACCACAUUGCAAAUGAACCAAAGAGCUACAUCAAUGUACGUUAUGUGAAGGUCCUGUUCAGGUUGAAUUGAAACAUACAAAAAUAUGUAAACGUGUUCUUUUGCAUUGGGUUGGAUGGGCGAACUAAUUGCUAAUUGAUCUAUUCUGAUAACCACAUUGGCCCAAAGUAAUGCGACCUAGGAAGGUUUAACUGUAAGUUUGGAUAACAUUUGCUUUUAUAGUAUUUAUCUAUUUAUUUUAAGUACAAGUAUAUAAAUUAGGUCAUGUAUUAUUUUAUUUGGAUCUUUCAGAUCUAAAUGUUAUUAAGAUUGCACAAUGUUGAUAAUUUUUAUACAUGAAUGGGCAACUAUCGCUUAGCUUUUAUUUAAAGACAAAUAUAUUUAUAUUGUUAUACAAAUGAGAAAUGUUUAUUUUUAUAUCGCUAUACCGAAUAUUAAUAGAGUUUAUUAAGGUUACAUUAGACUAGAUGUAAAUUUAAUUAAAAAUAAGACAUGUAGAACAUAUUCUUGUGAAAAUGUCUUUGUUCUAAGCGAUUAAAAGCAAUAUAAUAAAAUAAUGUAAAAGCCUAUUGAUUCAUUAAACUGUGUCAGAUCAGUUGAUUGUUCCAUUGUGCUUCACAAUUUAGCUAAUUGGCCAUGACAUUGUAUGACCAUGAAGUAGAGUAAUAUUCAUUCUGAUGAGUAAAGAGGGAUCUAAGGAAUCAGUGUGGUAGUUUAGCAAUAAAUAUACCAUCUACAACCACAACUUUUACAUAGCUGGGAUUACCACGCAAUGUGUCUAUUGGUUUAAUUUUCUUAAUUUCUGGGGAAAAUACAUGUGCUAUACACAGAAUAAAUCAUUACAACAUCA